GAGGAUAUAGCUCAGUUGGUAGAGGGUUUGCCUUGCAUGCACAAGGCCCUGGGUUCAAUCCCCAGUCCCCUCC
rfam:Ictidomys tridecemlineatus contig053158, whole genome shotgun sequence.